GAUGAACGCUGGCGGCGUGCCUAAUACAUGCAAGUCGAGCGAACAGACGAGGAGCUUGCUCCUCUGACGUUAGCGGCGGACGGGUGAGUAACACGUGGAUAACCUACCUAUAAGACUGGGAUAACUUCGGGAAACCGGAGCUAAUACCGGAUAAUAUAUUGAACCGCAUGGUUCAAUAGUGAAAGACGGUUUUGCUGUCACUUAUAGAUGGAUCCGCGCCGCAUUAGCUAGUUGGUAAGGUAACGGCUUACCAAGGCAACGAUGCGUAGCCGACCUGAGAGGGGGAUCGGCCACACGGGAACUGAGACGCGGUCCAGACUCCUACGGGAGGCAGCAGUAGGGAAUCUUCCGCAAUGGGCGAAAGCCUGACGGAGCAACGCCGCGUGAGUGAUGAAGGUCUUCGGAUCGUAAAACUCUGUUAUUAGGGAAGAACAAAUGUGUAAGUAAAUAUGCACGUCUUGACGGUACCUAAUCAGAAAGCCACGGCUAACUACGUG
rnacentral:rRNA from 1 species